rnacentral:rRNA from 2 species
GAUGGGAGCUUGCUCCCUGAUGUUAGCGGCGGACGGGUGAGUAACACGUGGGUAACCUGCCUGUAAGACUGGGAUAACUCCGGGAAACCGGGGCUAAUACCGGAUGCUUGUUUGAACCGCAUGGUUCAAAYAUAAAAGGUGGCUUCGGCUACCACUUACAGAUGGACCCGCGGCGCAUUAGCUAGUUGGUGAGGUAACGGCUCACCAAGGCAACGAUGCGUAGCCGACCUGAGAGGGUGAUCGGCCACACUGGGACUGAGACACGGCCCAGACUCCUACGGGAGGCAGCAGUAGGGAAUCUUCCGCAAUGGACGAAAGUCUGACGGAGCAACGCCGCGUGAGUGAUGAAGGUUUUCGGAUCGUAAAGCUCUGUUGUUAGGGAAGAACAAGUACCGUUCGAAUAGGGCGGUACCUUGACGGUACCUAACCAGAAAGCCACGGCUAACUACGUGCCAGCAGCCGCGGUAAUACGUAGGUGGCAAGCGUUGUCCGGAAUUAUUGGGCGUAAAGGGCUCGCAGGCGGUUUCUUAAGUCUGAUGUGAAAGCCCCCGGCUCAACCGGGGAGGGUCAUUGGAAACUGGGGAACUUGAGUGCAGAAGAGGAGAGUGGAAUUCCACGUGUAGCGGUGAAAUGCGUAGAGAUGUGGAGGAACACCAGUGGCGAAGGCGACUCUCUGGUCUGUAACUGACGCUGAGGAGCGAAAGCGUGGGGAGCGAACAGGAUUAGAUACCCUGGUAGUCCACGCCGUAAACGAUGAGUGCUAAGUGUUAGGGGGUUUCCGCCCCUUAGUGCUGCAGCUAACGCAUUAAGCACUCCGCCUGGGGAGUACGGUCGCAAGACUGAAACUCAAAGGAAUUGACGGGGGCCCG